AGUGAACGCUGGCGGUAGGCCUAACACAUGCAAGUCGAACGGCAGCACAGUAAGAGCUUGCUCUUACGGGUGGCGAGUGGCGGACGGGUGAGGAAUACAUCGGAAUCUACUUUUUCGUGGGGGAUAACGUAGGGAAACUUACGCUAAUACCGCAUACGACCUACGGGUGAAAGCAUGGGAUCUUCGGACCUUGCGCGAUUGAAGGAGCCGAUGUCGGAUUAGCUAGUUGGCGGGGUAAAGGCCCACCAAGGCGACGAUCCGUAGCUGGUCUGAGAGGAUGAUCAGCCACACUGGAACUGAGACACGGUCCAGACUCCUACGGGAGGCAGCAGUGGGGAAUAUUGGACAAUGGGCGCAAGCCUGAUCCAGCCAUACCGCGUGGGUGAAGAAGGCCUUCGGGUUGUAAAGCCCUUUUGUUGGGAAAGAAAAGCAGCAGGUUAAUACCCCGCUGUUCUGACGGUACCCAAAGAAUAAGCACCGGCUAACUUCGUG
rnacentral:rRNA from 1 species